rnacentral:rRNA from 1 species
GUCUACAGCCAUACCACCUUGAACGCACCCAAUCUCGUCUGAUCUUGGAAGCUAAGCAGGGUUGGGCCUGGUUAGUACUUGGGUAGGAAAUCAGAGAAGCAGUUUAUU